rnacentral:rRNA from 1 species
AGCAGCCGCGGUAAUUCCAGCUCCAAUAGCGUAUAUUAAAGUUGUUGCAGUUAAAAAGCUCGUAGUUGAAUUUCGGGAUUAGUGCGCUGGUCAUGCCUUUGGUAUGUACUGGUGUUACUGAUUUCUACCUUCUGAAGAACCGUUAUGUCAUUUAUUUGGUGUGGCGGGAAAUCAGGACUGUUACUUUGAAAAAAUUAGAGUGUUUAAAGCAGGCUCGCGCUUGAAUACAUUAGCAUGGAAUAAUGAAAUAGGACGUUUGACCCUAUUUUGUUGGUUUCUAGGAUCGACGUAAUGAUUAAUAGGGAUAGUUGGGGGCAUUAGUAUUCGAUUGUCAGAGGUGAAAUUCUUGGAUUUAUUGAAGACUAACUACUGCGAAAGCAUUUGCCAAGGAUGUUUUCAUUCAUCAAGAACGAAAGUUAGGGGAUCGAAGACGAUCAGAUACCGUCGUAGUCUUAACCAUAAACUACGCCGACUAGGGAUCGGAUGAUGUUAUUUUUAAUGACUCA